rnacentral:ncRNA from 2 species
UGUUUUUCCGACGAGAGCGGUUUUCGCUUUGGGGGGAUUUUUCCUUUGGGGCGGACGAAGAUGGAAUCGGGUGCGAAUCCCGGGCAGUCCCGCUGCUGUGAGCCUUAACAAAAUGCGCGCGAUACGCCACUGUCCGCGAGGGGCGGGAAGGCCGCGCGCAAAGGCGAGCCAGAAGACAUGCCGCUUUUCAAACAUUCGG